CGGGGCAGACACAGGGGUCUGCUGUGCUUGAUGCUCCAGGUACACAUUUCCAAAGCACCAAGGACAUGGAGGAAGAGCUCAGGCCAUCAUGAUCCCAGCCCCUGUGCUGCAGUCACUGUCCAUUCAGAGGUGGCUGACCCUCAGAGGGCUGAGAUAACCACAAAAGUGCAUCUACACAGGAGAUGGCUUCUCUCCUCCCCACUGCCCAUUUGUAGGCAGAUCCCUCAUGGCUGCUGUGAUGUGCAGAAAAGCCAACAUGCUGCAGCCUCACCCCCACUAACAACAUCCCAGCUAGCAUGUACCUAGGCAUGAUGCAGCCAUCUCUCAGAGUGACCCAGCAAGCACCUCCUUCAUUGUCUCUGGAGAGCUCUUGAUGCCUGCCAUGACACAGAGUAAAAUCUGUCACUGCACUCAGCCCCCAUGCCAGCUAGAGCUAUCAUCUGGAUGAUCGAAUUCAAUCGCUAAUGGCCCAUUUGCUUUAAGGAGGCCAUUCUGCAAUUCACAAAGGUAUCUUGCCUUCAAUGGGAUGAUUUUGCCAGGGAAUGUAUCUAUAGCUCCUUUUCUGUAGAUACGCAGUAAGAAAAAGCAAUUUCUGGCACUAAGACUAAGCAAGCUUACAUAGCGCUCUUCUUAGUUCUGGCCACAAAUUUAAAAUGAUUGCAACUGCUAUCAGCAUUUUCUCAUUAAUGUUAUAAGGACAAGAAAAGCCCGUGACUUUUCUUCUAUUUCUUACUUUCUAGAUUGUUGUACAAUAAGAAUUCAGCAGGGUGUAAAUCCAUCUUCUCUCUCCUCCUUCUUUUCACUUGUAUGUUUGUUUAUUUACAAGUUUUCUUUUUUUUUUUUUUUCAGAAUUGAAGAUUCUUAUAUUAAUUGAUAACCCCUUUCAUAACAUCACACAGGCCCUGGUGUUCUAGAAGGCAGUCCUGACCCAUAGAGGCUUCUGCAUGCUUCAACAUGUUUUGCAUUCCUGGUCCAACUUAACCCUGCUGGCUUCAGAUGGAUCGGGAACCACCUGAAACUAAACCCAGCUUUUUCUGACUUUUAGGGGCAACAGCAGAUACCAGGAUACACUUCCCUGUGGAGUUCACUUUCCAAAAGGAGGCCCUGUGCAGUAUGUGAAGGAGAGAGCAGAACCACAGGGCCAAAAAUUCAAGAUACUCAUAGCUUCGUUGGAGAGAAAAGCAGAAGAGGAGAUUCAUUAUACAUGUGCAAUAUUAAUUUGGGGUAGGGCUGUUGCAUAAGCCAUCCACACCUUUUGUAUUACUAUCACUAAAUAUUUCAUAUUCUUAGGGGACAUCCUGCUUGCAUUUGUGACUAUACCAAAAGAAGUCACUAUCUUCAAGCACUCAGAUUCAGUCCUGGCAAAGCAAGGUGGUAGGAAUGCUAAACCUUGAUACCCAGUUCAUAAUUCUGCCUGAGCAAUACCCAGCAAAGUGCAAGAACACCUAAGCUAGCUCCACAUCAGAAGACUUUCCACAUAUGGAAAACUACUGAUGGCAGCACAGAGCAUCCUCUCAACAGCACUGCAGCCAGGAAACUCUCUCAGCAGCAAUUCACUGCAGCAGCUUUUGCUAUAACUAUGACCUCCCUGAGAUGCAGGAUGAGCAGAAGAGGGGGUCAGAAAAGCCUGAAUCCCAUGAAUACAGAGAAAAAAAGGAAGUUGGAUGGAUCAAGUGACCUCUGGAAUACAAAUUUUACAAAAUUUUACAUCCAUGUCCUUCCUUGACUGCACUCAGAUAAAGUUAAUAGCACUCUUAUUGGUUGGCACAUUAAUGUCACAUAUAAAUUUAACACAAAACAUUACACCUUUGUACCUCAGGUCUGUUUCUAUGCAUAUGCAUGAUACCAGGAAACAGCCCAGCCAGUUCCUAAUGAUAUCAGCACAAAGAUGUCAGGGAUACAAUUCAGAAAUCCAGUCUCAUAUACCAGUAAAUUCCUUUAUGUCCUGUCCAACUACUACACACAAUGGAGUUUUGAAACACACUUCUUACAUGAAGAAGACAGAUGUUUAAAAUUUACUAUAUUUAGAUCACCAUUGUUUAAGAGAGAGAGAUGGACAGUUUUGACCCUACCAUGUGAACUUAUAGUGCCUAUACUGAAUUAAACACAUUUGUUGGAAGUCUUCAGCCAAAAGCAACCCAUGACUUAAACCAGCUCAACCAUUUAAAGUACAAAAUUUUACCACCUGCAGGGUAAUCUCUAUUAGCAGGACAAAAUACUACAGAUGUUGUGCAAAUGUUUCACUGGAAGGACUUGCAACUAGUUUAAUAACUUGUAAAGGAGACCUCACGCAAGGCUAUCAAGAACAUCAAACCUCUCCCAACAACAUUAAGAGACAUAGUGGAACUCAAGAACUCCUCUGGGUCAGGCUGACUGAAAGGUUUCAGAUUCUGGAGUGAUUCAUUGAUUCAAUACUGUGAUCCCAUUUUUGCUCUUCAAAUCCCUGUGCAGCUGUGAUCAGUUCUUGAUAGCAGUCCCAAGCAUGAAUACUUCACCAGCAUCCUUGUCACUCCUAGUCCCAAGGCACCUGCUAGCCAGCCUCUUUCCACAGUCCUGACACUCACUUGCUCAGAAAGAAAGGCCAACAGUGCUUGCUAUACUUCAUUAACUCAAAAAUCAUCUACAAAGUUGUUGACUAGACUAGGCCUUCAUCUGAAAUGGAAAAAUUAAUCUCUUCAGCCACUUGAGGUGAACAGAUAUAGUAGUGGAGAACAGCAGACAAGCAUCUAGAAAAUAUUGCAGUUAAAUACCAAAACAGUGGUAAGUGGAAUAAAUACACUGUUUUGGGAUUUGGGUUAGGGUCUUCAUGGCAACAAUAUAUUUGUGCUCUAGAUAUUUGCAGCUUAUAUCCAGUCCCUAGACAAAUGUGCUUUUACAGACCUGCAGGCUCAUUGGUGGAUAUGAUUAUAGCUUAAGCCAUGUCACACAAGUCCCUAUUGCCCUAAACUGAAAAAUUAAUCCUGUUACUGCAAACUGCAAGGGGUCAAGUUGCUAGCACUAAAACAGGAAAGCCAUUAUAAAACACUGAGAGCAGGAAGUGUUUAUGAGGUGUCUUAUUGCAGAGCUACAUAUAUCAAAGUUGAUUUAACACUGCUCAAAACUUAAAGGUUGGGAAGGAGAAAAAAAAAGAAAAGAAAAAUAAAAAAUCCCACCCUGGAUUUUCUUGAAAUAAACAUUGUCAAUUUGCUCAAGAGGCCAGAGGAGAAAGUGGGUCAGCCAAAAUAUUUUGGUUUAUGUGAUAUUUUACAAAACCUUUCUAAAAAUUUGUUUCUAAGGAAAAUAUUACAAUCUCUCAUUUGGCAAAAUUAAGAUGGUUUCUUUUGAGAAGACUGAAAUAACACAGAUUUUUGGAAGAGAAAUUUUCCUUUUUGCUGUUGUUGUUUUGGUUAUCUCUAAGGGCUUGUCAAAUCUAACAGAAUUCAUAAAUAUUUUUGUUUUAAAUAAUUUUCUGGUUAAUAAUAUUUUUUGAUGGAAAAGGGAUGCUUGGUUCAACUUUAGAUCUUAGCACUUGCCAGACCCCCUGCUUUUGUAUCCAAAAUCAGGGCUUGCAGAGCCCUGAAAAAAAAAAAUCUACUAGGAAGCCAUGCCAGGAUGCUUUUAGCAGCACUCUGAAAAGACAUGGGGUUCAUUACAUAUCAAAGUAGACCAGGAAAUAAGAAAAUGAUGAACUAUGAACUCAAUUUUAGACACAACAUAAACAAGAUCUGAUCUUUAUUUCAUCACCUUCUUCUUAUACCCAACUUCUCAUCUAUCCUCUGCCUACAUUUUGCUAGAUUUUUAAUUGUGAAGGCAGUUGAAUAACCUUCCAAAAGUGCAAAGUUCAAAACAGCCAUAACUCCAUCAUUGCUCAGCUGCCUUGCUAAUGCCUUUUUGGCUAGCUUUUACUCUUGUUCCAACCUUCUCACCCACUACCAAUGCAAAUAAGUCUGUGUUCAUUUAAAAAAUAAAAUAAAAAAGAUCAAAGCCCCAUAUGGCUCAUAAACUCUUUGUCACAUCACAGAAUUUCAUCCCAACUCAAUGUGGAUAAGAAUACUUUAUAAAGUGCCCUAACUAGGCUGUUAUUUGGCAGUCCAGAAACAUGUUUGUUAUUUGUAUUUUCUGUAGUUUCAAUAGAAAUUGACUUCUCCUAGAGUGACAGCUACUACUGGGUCUCUGUGCACAGACUUUGUCAGAAUGGCAGCUUUCAUAUGAGGCUUCCCAAUAAUAAAUGCAACACAGUUGGUGGCCAGUAGCUUUGGAUUCUGUGACCUAUAAUAUUUUCUGUCAAGUCACAUGCUAUGAGAUAGGUUAGCACUUACUUCCUUUGGUGACCCUGACAUAUGUAUAAAAUAAGUACAAAUCAACUAAGUCUGACUGCAUGCAAAAAAAAAAAAAAAAGAGAAAAAUUAAAAAGCACUGAAGUUAGAUUUCUACCACAAUCUGUGAAAUGUGCUGCUGUUUUGAAUAACUUGAAUAACUAUUUCUUUGACUGGAAUGGGAAAAAAAACAAAGACAGUCUGUCUUUUGUUAUUUUUGACAUUUAAUAUUACUUAUAAUAUCACUAGCAACAUGGGAUUAUCACACUGAAAUUCUCAACCAUAUUCCAGCUAUGUUUCUGAAGAAUAUCAAAAAGCAGCCCAGAACCUCUGAAGAUUUACAGAGACAGAAGGGAACUAAAGGGGUCUAUUCUUCCUUCAGUGUUCAUGUUAGCUGUGUACAGAAAUCCCUCACGUAUCACCAAAGGCUUCUAAAAGCCCUGAACAAGUGCAAGAAAUUUAGAUGCCAUACUUCAGAAAAUACAUAAUGGAACUCAGGGAGCCCCAAAAUGCUGCUGUGCUAAAAAUAUUUUUUCCAGUUCCUUGUGUUUUCCUGAUAUUUAUCGUAUUUAGGUUAAUGUGAAUAUUUUUGAUGUUAUCAACUGAAGCAAUAUAAAAUUUCAUGACCAAUCCAAAUGGCUGGGGAAAACUCUGUAGUUAAAAAUGUUCCUUCUUUUUUUGCAAGCCAUACAAACCGCUUAUUAGUGUCAAAUCUAAGGUAGUCAUUGGAGAAGAAGCAAGACUAGUGUAGCAGCCACACUGUAUGGAAACCCUUGUAGCAUAUUGAUGUACAUGAUGCAAAGUGCACACAUCUUCACAAGUUAUUUUAAUAGCAUUUAUGUGUAAUUAACAACUUUUCCAAUGACAAUUCAGGAUGUGAACUUCAUUAAUGUUAUGUUCUUAACUGCCCUUUGGAGGCAGUUUUUUCCUCCACCAGCUAGGUAUAGAAUACAGGGGUUCCAAUAUCUAACCAUAGUGUCUAAAUAAGAUUGCUGAAGUUAGGUAUUGUGGAGCUCUCAUACAGAAGCUAUAACCACCCUGUCCUUUAUGGACAUUUCCAAGAUGGCUCAUGCUUUCACUCCUGUCAUCCUAGGGCUGCAGCAUCCCUGACACUUUGUGCAACCCUGCAUUGACCAGAUUGACAUUUCCAUGCUUGUUUUACAGAGGUGGAACUGAGCUACUGAGAAGUAAAUAUUUGCCAAAAUAACCCAGUGGUUCUAGGAAGAGCAUUGUCAGCAGGUUGAGGGAUGUGAUCCUGCCACUCUACCCAGCCCUAGGGGAGCCAUGCCUGGAUUGCCCAGUUUUGGGCUCCUCAGAAUGAUACAAAGAUGCUGGAGCAGGUCCAAUGAAGGCUACAAAGAUAAUUAAGGGACUGGACUCUUAUGGGGAAAGGCUGAGGGAUCUGGGCCUGUUCAGCCUCAAAAAGAGGCAACUGAGAGGGAAUAAGAUCAGUGUCUGUCAGUAUCUUAAGGGAGGUGUCAGACAAGGGAGCCAAGAUCUGCUCCGCGGUGCCCAGCAACAGGACAAGAGGCAAUGGGCAGCUCCAAGAGACUUUCUAUCAGCCUUUCUCAUAGUCAUCGCCAGGCUGCUUCCUGCACAUCUGUUUGUGCCUCUUCCUCUUACAUGUAAAUAAAAAUAAAUACAUGAGGAUAUGUCUAGAAGCCAGCCUUGUCUUCAACCCACAUAUCAGUCCUGAGCUUGGUGAGGGUCUUAAUUACUAGCUGCCUGUGGAGUUUCAUAAAGCCAAAGUAAUGAAUGUUGUACUUUCAGAAGAAGUUAGCAAAUUUCUGAUCAUUACAUAUAAUAAAUUCUGAUCUAUUCUGCUCAAGGUCUAAGACACUGCCAGUUAAUCCAAGACACUUCCAUCAUCAAAACCAGAACCUGUAUCUUCAAAAUGAAUGGAGGCAAUUCCAGAGAGCAAUUAAGCACAUAAAUCUGAUGCUGUAGACAAAAUCCAUCUUCUUGAGGUAGAACUUGAGAGCACUUGACUAUGCAUGGCACAAUGUGGAACUGGCCAUAUUCAAACAACCAGAAACAGCAUAAAUACAGUCAAGGACAGGGCUGAAUAAGUUUGACUCAGCAUCAUCCGAUCUGCACUUAUGUGACUUUCAACCAUCUUCUAGGUCUGGCAGGAAAAGUCAAUAUUUACCUGAGGUUUUUUGUGUACGUAUAUCACAUACAUUUCCCAUUUAGGUAGCAGUACUGUUAAGCUGACAUGUCUGUUUACAAAAUUCUGUUUUCACUCUCCAAAUGACUGUUUUUCUUCUAAUUCUUAUCUUCCUUAAGCAGGAAUGAAAACCAGAAGGAUCUUUUUUCAUUCACUGAAAGGUCUUGUUUUUCCAGAAAUUAUCAUAUAGAGGGUAAGGCUAUAUUACAUGAGGGACUAUUCUACUGAAUAGGGCUUUUUGACAGUAAUUUUUCUUUAGCUAAAUUUAGAAUACAUGAAAUUUUGAAUAUGUCUGAAUUAUUAGGGAAUUCUGACACCUACACAGAGGUAACUUUUCACACAAAACUGUGAAACAGACCAUUAUGAAACACCUGAAAUAUAAUUCAGUUCUAAUAUGGGAUGGUGUCUAAAACUAAAGCAGAAAGCCCAGACAGAGAAUAAUUAUGGUAAAAUAAUGUUUACAGAAGCUGUACUGUCUUCAUAGGGAUAUCCGUGAUUGACUUUUUAUUUGUCCUUCUAUGAGUUAAAACAAAAGAAUUCUGAGCUGCUUUUCUCUUGUUCUGUGCACACUUUGUGUAAAGAAGAGAGAGCUACCAUGCAGAAUGGUCAGCAAGGUCUUACUUCAUUAUAAUCCAGAGCACUGAUCCAGAGCACUGAUUGCUACAGUCUAUGGUUGUCUUAUUGUACUUGUGCUCACUUGAUGCUCAAAGAGGUUUUGCUUUGAUGGAAGUUUUCAUUUGAUCAGGUUUUCACUGUCUGCAUGAAUAGAUACAAACAUAGCUAAAAUAUAUGUCCAAUAUAGUUUAGUGUUUAAUUCACAUGACCCUCCUGUUUUAAAUUACUCACAUAUCUGCUUAUUCAGCAUGGCUCUAACCAUGAUUCCAUGUUAAAUGCAAUCAUACAAAAAGCAAUGGAAAAAAUAAGAAAAAACAAAUGGGCAGAGAGUUGGGAAAAGAAGACUUAUGGCCAGAUAAAGUGAAUCAAUAAUUAGAAGCAAAGCUCCGCAAAUAAUUUAACCAACUCAAAUAUAUGUUGGUAAAUUAUUAGCUAUCCUGUAUUUCUCAUGUUACAAGCAAAAAACUUCUACUGUAGCAUAGCAUUCUCCUUAUCACUCAGCUACAGUGUUUGCCCACCCCAAAAAAACCAGUUUGGUGGGUUUGUAUUGGCAAUCGUUCCUUGUUGGUACCUUGAUUUAUCUCAGGAAGACAUUAUGAAGUCUCUUCUCCUCCUUUAUAGGUCAGGCAAAUUCUGAAAAAUACAGUAUGAAUCCAUGACAUCAGCAAGACUUUUAGUAUCUCUCAGUAAGCAAUUAGACUCUGUCAGCUGUUGAUUGUGUAAACAGGAAUGACACAGGCAUAUGGGAAAAGGUGUGUAUCUUCAAGGGAAAUACCCAGGACUUGUAAUCAUUCAACACAGAUCCUGUGUUCUCACUCAUCACACCUGCCAAUUAACAAACUUAAAAGUUACCGGCACAGUUGAAGGAGGGAGGAGGGAGAGUACCACAGAAAAGAUAAUUAAUGCAAAGGAGGAGAAUUUUUAGUGAGAUUUCAUCAAACAAUAUCAUGUCACAUUUAAAUUAUUUUCUUAUGCAAAUCUAUUCUAAAUGAUAUGGCUAAAUGAGAAUGUAAUUGCUUCCCAAAGAAAAUGGCAUGUCAUAUAGCGUAUUUUAUAUAUAAAAAUAUAUACAUACAAACAUAAUACAUUUACAUCUGAAGUUAAAUACAGGACACUGAAACAUUUUGGGAAUCUGAACAACAGACUUCCCUAAGCUCAUGUGUAAAUCUAAAAACUCUUACAAAUUCCUUUAAUGCAUAAUUCAGACACCCUAAACUUUUUGAUAGACAAUACUAUAGUAAUACCCAUGGAAAGAAGACAGCUAAAAUGCUCUAAAUCCUCUUCAUUUAAACCUAGUUAUGUUUAACAGAAAAUACAUAAUCAUAUGUCUAGAAAAGCUGUGGAUGCCACAAGUCUGAAAUUACUUAAAGUCAGGUUGGACAGCGGUCUGAUCAACCUGUUUAAUGAAAGCUGUCCCUGUCCAUAGCAGAAGGAUUGGAAGUAGAUUACAACCUUUAAGGUUUCCUCUGACUCAAAUAAUUCUAUGAUUUUAUGAUCCUCUUUACGCACUAUCAUCACUUAUGCAUUGCUAAAUAAUACAGAGAAAGAACCAAAAUAAUACAUGUUCUAAAUUAUAUCCAAAUUUAUAUCACAGCUCAAGUGCAGGCUUGAUGUCUGAUGUCUUCUGGUAAUGGGAACAUAAUCUUUCAUCCAUAUGUUUGGUGUUGAAUUUGGAACUGCCUCUCACCCCUCUUCACCUGCUUGAUGAUACCCCAAUGAAGAUGUGAAUUUUCUGUUAUGUGAUUUCACCUCUUGAUAAUAUACAACAUACUAUAACAGUAUGCCCUACAUUUAAGACACUUCUGCUUUCCUAUUUGAGACAGUAAAGCCUGGACAAAGACCAUACAUUUUCUUUGAUUUAGUUCUUUCAGGUUUUUUGCUCCAUACAAAUUGUGUUUGGGGAUUGUCUUUCUCUUAAUCUCAAGACUAAAUUGAACACCCAUACUGCCUCAUCUACAAUGAAAAUAUUUUUGUCUGUUUUCUCUUUGCUGACUCUGUUCAUGGCCCAGUUCCAAAAUAUGUUUUCUUUGUUCUCCUCCUGGAAAAAUACUUUUUGAAAGUAUCAAUUAUUACCAUUUAUUAUCAACAAUAAAAUUGACAGAUUUUUUAUUUUCCUCUAAGCUAAAAAUUAGGCAGGUAAAAAAUGAAGGGAUCUAAAACAGAGUAAUUCAACAGCAAAACUGAAACUUCAUUCAGAAUAUGUACCUAGAAUGUAAAAUCCUCAAACCACCAGCAUCUGACUAAAUAUAAAAGCAUAAGAGCUUUGAUAAAGAAGAAACAAAAGGGAUGAUUUUAAGAGAAAGUAUAGUUUUAUUGACUAGGAGAGAUGGAUAGGAUAGGAUAGGAUAGGAUAGGAUAGGAUAGGAUAGGAUAGGAUAGGAUAGGAUAGGAUAGGAUAGCUCCAGUUGGAGGGGAUCCAUAGCAAUAAUUUAGUCCAACUGUGAUGCCACUUCAGGGCAGAUCAGGGCUAAGAGUAAAAGCAUAUUAUUAAGGGCAUAGUCCAAAUUCCUUUUUAACACUGACAAGCUCCUCUCUAGGAAGUUGGUUCCAAUGUUUUCCCACACUUGCGGUAAAGAAAUACCUCCUAAUGUUAAAUCUCAACCUCCCCUCAUGCAGCUUUGAACCAAUUCCACAUAUCCUGUCAUUGGAUACCAGGAGAAGAGCUCAACAAUCCCCCCACUAGUCUCUUUCCCCAGGAAGCUGUAAAGGCAUUGAGAUCUCUCCGCUGCCUUCUGUCCAAAGGAGACAAAAAAGGGUUCUCAGCCACUCCCUACAGGACACUCCUUCCAGCCCUUUCACCAGCUUUGUUAUCCUCUGGAGAUGCAUCCAAGGACCUUCCCAUCCUGAAGUUGGUGGGGCCCAGAACUCCACCCAUGCUGAAGGUGAGGCUGCACCAGCUCUGAACACAGCAGGACAAUCACCUCUUUUGACCAGCUGGCGAUGCUGGGUUUGGUGAUCCCAGGAUGGGCUUUGCCCUCCUGGCUGCUGGCCACUGCUGGCUCACACGGAGCCUCCUGUCACCAGCACCCCAGAUGCCUUCCUGCAGGGCUGCUCUCCAGCCUCUCCUCCCUCAGAUUAUACUUGUGUCUGGUGUUAUUCCAUACCAGGUGCAGAAUCUGGCAUUUUUUUCUUGUUAAGUGGCAUUAAUGUUUCUACAGUGCUUCAGUCUCUUUAGAUCUCUCCACAAGGCUCCUCAUUCCUUGAGAGAGUCAACAGUAUCUCACAGUUUGGUAUCAUCAGCAAAUUUUCUAAUUGUGCAUUCAACUGGAUCAUAAUAAAAGUAUGGAACAGAACGGGUUCUGGAAUUGAACCCUGAGGAGCACUGCUGGUCACCAGUCACCAUCUGAGUGCAACACUGCACCAUUUAAGCCCUGCUCUACAGCCAGUUCCCUACCCAUAGCACCAUGUACGUGCCUGUUUUACAGAUAGAAAACUUGUGCAGAAGGGUUCUGUGAGGGACAGUAUCCAAAGCUUUAACAAAAUCCAGAAAAACUACAUCCAACAUCUUCCUUCAUUCACUUAAAAGGUGAUCUUAUCAUAGAAGGAUAUCAAAUGAGUCAGACAUUUUGUUCUGAGCUGUAUAGCCAAGAGCUGAUUUUGAAAUUUGAAUUAAUUUAAUUUAAGGUGUACAGAAAGUAUACAACCAGAGUUGUACUUGAGUGUCUCUGGAGUAGCACUAAAACCCAAGCUCAACAGAGAGCAGAAGGCAGGGGUAAAUAUAUGUAGUUCACUACACUAGCAGUGUAGAUUUCUUUUUGUGGUUCCCAUGGCAAUAAUACUACAUUACUGUCACAAUGCAAACAGUGUUAUUGGACAUAGUCCAGUGGCACAUCUGAUUAAUGUGUGUCUUCUGAACAUGUAUCUGAACUUGAUGUGAUAGAAAUGGCAAUUCCUCCAUUUUUCCUACUGGUUUGAUCCACUGGCUAAUCAACUACUGUAAUAAUACUGUGUCUCAUUUCCCAUGAUAACCUGUCUGGUUUAAAUUCCCAGUCAGUUAAACGAAAGGGUUUUUAAUAUCUAAUAUUUCUUCCCUAUGAUGGCACUUAUCCCCAAGGAUCAUGCCAAUUCUCAUUCAUUGCUGCACUAAUGGAACCUGUAUGGUGACAAAAGGCACUUUAGACUGAAGCCAGGUAAUUCUCUGUGGAAUUCAAAUGACUUCUGCUCUUCAAACAAAACCAAAAAUAUCCUUAGGUGAGGGCAGGUGAUCUGCAAAAAAUAUAGAACCCAUUUGCGUGACCUAUUGAUCAGCAUCAAGUCUAACAAGAGAAUGAUAAUGUAAACUUCCAGAGAGGUUUUGACUCUCUAUCACUCUGCCAGAAUAUACCCACUCUUAUCUAAAUUCAGGAAGAUUAGUGUGUUUCAGUCAGGACUGGGCCCAUCCUCCACGAGUGCAAGGACAGAUAAGAAUCUCUUGGCUCAUGCUAGCUGGUAGCACCACUCGUCUCCCAGGAGCAGAUAAUGGGCAUCCUUCUGCCCCUUGUAAAUAACCACUUCUGAGAGCACAAAGGAGUCAUUCUCCAUAAUUAAAAACUAAUUCAAUACCCAUCAAAAUCAAUGGAAGUUUUUCCACUGAAUUCAGUAUGCUUCCACUUCUGCCUUGAAACCAACAAUCGUCUGGUGAUAUUUGUGUUAUAUUAACCCAGCCUUCAGGAAGUGUAUCGAGGUCUUCAACUUAUUUCACAUAAGCCACCAAACAGUAAUAAUUUUCAGACAGUGUCAACCUGACCCAGAUUUGAACUGGCAAUCUGGAGCUAGAAAGCACUAUAAUCCAUUACCAGCCCUGUGAACCAUCUGGUCACAAAAUCUUGAGCAACUUAUAUGGCACUUAGUCACUGAGUAGCUUACUGAGACUUGGAUGGUAAAAAACAGAAUUUGUCUAUGGAUGUACAUGAAUGUAUUUAAACAUAACUAA